ACGCUGGCGGCGUGCCUAAUACAUGCAAGUCGAGCGAGAUGUUAGCGCAUGAACCUUCGGGGGAUUAUGCUAACGGACAGCGGCGGACGGGUGAGUAACGCGUAGGCAACCUGCCCCUGACAGAGGGAUAGCCAUUGGAAACGAUGAUUAAAACCUCAUGACACCGUAGAAGCACAUGCUUCAUCGGUCAAAGAUUUAUCGGUCAGGGAUGGGCCUGCGUCUGAUUAACUAGUUGGUGAGGUAACGGCUCACCAAGGUGACGAUCAGUAGCCGACCUGAGAGGGUGAUCGGCCACAUUGGAACUGAGACACGGUCCAAACUUCUACGGAAGGCAGCAGUAGGGAAUCUUGCACAAUGGGCGAAAGCCUGAUGCAGCAACGCCGCGUGAAGGAUGUAGGCCUUCGGGUUGUAGACUUCUGUUCUAAGGGAAGAAACAAAUGACGGUACCUUAGGAGCAAGCCCCGGCUAACUACGUGCCAGCAGCCGCGGUAAUACGUAGGGGGCAAGCGUUAUCCGGAAUUAUUGGGCGUAAAGAGUGCGUAGGUGGUUACCUAAGCGCAAGGUUUAAUUUAGAGGCUCAACCUCUACUUGCCUCGCGAACUGGGCUACUUGAGUGCAGGAGGGGAAAGCGGAAUUCCUAGUGUAGCGGUGAAAUGCGUAGAUAUUAGGAGGAACACCAGCGGCGAAGGCGGCUUUCUGGACUGUAACUGACACUGAGGCACGAAAGCGUGGGUAGCAAACAGGAUUAGAUACCCUGGUAGUCCACGCCGUAAACGAUGAGCACUAGGUGUUGGGCCCGUUAGGGCUCAGUGCCGCAGUUAACGCAAUAAGUGCUCCGCCUGGGGAGUACGCUCGCAAGAGUAAAACUCAAAGGAAUUGACGGGGACCCGCACAAGCAGCGGAGCAUGUGGUUUAAUUCGAAGCAACGCGA
rnacentral:rRNA from 1 species